rnacentral:tRNA from 1 species
UCUCUGGAGGACUAGUGGUUAGGCCUCGGUGCUCUCACCGCCGCAGCACAGGUUCGAUUCCCGGCCAGGGAA